rnacentral:lncRNA from 1 species
AAGCGAGCCUGACGGUCUAUCUUGAUGUGACUAUCUUAUUCAAUGUUUCUGGUUUUGAGGAAAGCAUUUUCCCAUCAUUUCAAACGUCUACCUUGUAUGAUGUGACUACCUUCUUAUUCAAUAUUUCUGGUUUCGAGAAAAGCAUUUGCCCGUCAUAUCAAACGGGGUGAAAUUUCCAUUGCUGAAACAAGUGUCAACUCAGCGGUUCCACACCUUCAGCAGAGGGGAUGAUAAAGAUGCGCACUUUCGAUCAAGUUACUGAGGACAGUGGAUAGAAUUGAUAUGGUGUUUUGUUACAAUGCUAUGGAGGGUAAUGGUGGAUGAGUGAGGGAUGACACUAGCAGGACAAUAGGAAUCGCGUUUGAGAGAACUGAAAUGCAUUUCAAG